AUCAAUUUGACACCGAUUUUACUCAUUAAAUUCUUCAAUUUUCUCUGCUUUAUUUUUAUUUUGAUUUGCUCUGCGAUUCAGGGCUCGGUAACGGGAGGUCCUUCAGCCGGCUGUUAACGAUGGUGGGGAGGGCUGAGCUGUGGUGGCGAUUGUAGCAUUAUCGUGUUCGGGUAGGAUAGCGGAUGGCAAAAGGAAUCAUACUUGGAUAGUUUAAAAAGCAGCUUAAAUGUGGCAUCAAUAGUUGAGCUGAGUCAUGGUGGUGCUGAGUUUAUAGGUGGAAUAUGGCGUCCAUGUCUUAGAUAAUGUGGUAUAUACUUUCCACUUUUUGACUUACUAAUGAUUGAAUAUUGGAUCCUUACUACUAUUCACCACUACCUAAGUAGAUCUUUUUGAUUGAUUUAUUAGUUUCAGACCAAUACCAUUUCAUGUUAGUGAAGUGUGAACAGCCCUACUCCUGAGCUAUGCUCUGUAAUUGAGGGUUGAGGUCUUAAUGGUGGAAUUGAACUACAAUGCUUUCUGAUAUUUUUUACUGCUGUAUAGAGUGGUGGAAUGAAUGGCUAUAUCUCCCUUUGUGUUGGGAAUCCUUGCCGUCUUGUCUUCAAAUCAUCGAAUGGAAGACAACAUGAACAAUCAAGUCAUGUAAGCUUCAUAAAUUAUUUACUUUAUUUUUCAUUGGUGAUGCUGAAGAACAAACUAUUGUGGUUUUGUGGGGAUUUGCUUGCGGAGCAGCAGACAAAUAUUUCUUAAAAUGUUAUUUGCUCUUCUAAAAUUGGAGGAACCAAUUUUCAUUUAAUUUGUUUUUACUACUUUUUCUCAAAUAUUUUCUUUCAGGUUUCUCAAAUAUUAUCAUGGUUCAAAACA